rnacentral:lncRNA from 1 species
ACAACAAUCAAGACCAUUUGGAUUUAGCAGGUUUGCCAGUAAUCUUGCCACUAGACUCCGCCAGACCUCAGAAGACAGCUCCAUAUCUUCGUCUGAAUCGAAAGAAGAUUAAAAUCAAGGAAUAUCUAGGAAGUUUAUUUAUUUGAAAUUUAUUUAUUUAUUUUUAAAAUAUUUAUUUGUACAUGAAAACUCCAUCACUAUGCAGAUGCAGUUUGUUUUAAUUUUUUGUAAUUGUUUAUGUAUAUAUAAUACAUACAUAUAUAGGGUGUCCCAAAAGUAGCGGAACGGUCGAAUAUUUCGCGAACUAAACAUCGGAUCAAAAAACUGAAAAAUACGUAUUCAAUCAUUUUCAAAAA